UUUUCUUUCUUUUUUCACAAGAGCAUCCAGUACUUACUGGAAAACGAAGAGUUCUCGGCUAACCCUUCUUCAACUUUCUUUUGGCUUUCGAUAUGUAAAUUGAUUUUUCUAUUGUAACCCAUAUCGAUUUCCCCUCCCAAAUCAGUCUUUCUUUACUUAAAUCGUUUUUCCUAUCCCCAAAUCGAUUUUUCCCAAAUUGAUUUUUCCAUAUUCGAAUCGAUUUCCUCUGUCAUAUCUCUUCCAUGUUCCUUUUUCAUCGCAGCUCUAUUUGUGUUUUGAUUGUGAUUGUGGUUCCCUUCCGUAAAUUCUUCAUAUUUCUAUGUUUGAGUCAUGAGAUUGAAAUCGGGGUUCUCCCCCUUUUCUAUUAUCGUUAAACCCUUUUACUUUUUUUUUUUAUAUGAACUUAUAUCAUAUUUGUUAACUAUUAAUUGUUCUAUUGGAUUUAGAAGCUAAUUUGGAAGAGAGAUUAACGCCAACUUGGAGUUCCAGAACCAUUUGUGGAGUUGCUAUUCCAAUUCUUACUUAUUUAUAAUAGUUUUAUUCGGGUGGUGAACAUUCCCAUUCUUAUAGGGACCAUGCAGACCAGGACCUUGAUGCUAGUUCUGGACAUGGACAUGGACAUGGACAUUCACAUUGCUGAUCUUUCUACAGGAAUAUCAAUCUUUGCGAGGAUUGUACCCUUUCUUCUUGGUUGAUUACAAGACCCUCCAAAUUGAUUAAUAGCACCUCUCUAAAUUCCCACCUAAUUAAUAAAGAAGAAAGGUGCACAAGAAACCGAAAGCUUUUAUUUUUCUAGAAACUAUAUAGUCAGUGUUGUUAAAUUUCUGUUGCGGCAGUAUGGCUUGAUGGAUUUUGUGCCAACCACCAUAAUCCCUACCAUGUCUUCUAAAGGUAAAAUGAAUUUUAAGAGGACGACAUAGGUGAUGACCUUCAAGAGGACGACAUAGGUGAUAAAGAGCAUGAUGGAAAUGACGACGAGUUCGACAAAUUUAAAUAAGUUGGAUGAUGUUGUUUUAGGCUUCUACUUAAACAUUAAACUUAAAGAAACUAUGUAUUUUUGUCAUUUUGCUAGACUUAGACUUCUAUGUGUUAAACUUGUAGUAUUAAGUAAUGUUAUACAUUUUGUGUAAUUGAGUUAAUGCUUGAAGAUUUUACAAACACAAUUUUUGUAGUACAAGCAAUUUAUGUUUGGUGUAA